UGCCGCUUACGAUAUCAUCAACCUCAAUACGACAAAGUGUGAACAACCGUUCGGGUAUUCCUUCAAAACAUCUAGUCUGCCCUCGUAUCGUUCAGCGCUUGGUCGCGUGCAAUAAAAUGAUAAACUAUAUUCCACUUAUCUGAUGUUAUCAAGAUAAAUUUAUCAUGAGAUGUGUUUUUAGUGUCAUUGUGCGUUUGCGUAUUCGAUAGUCUGUGGUCAGUGAAAUUGGCGCGUUCUCUAUCUAAAUAUUGGCGCGAAAUUUGAAAUUGAAUUUGGAACGAUGAAUUUCACGGAUAUUGUAACGGUGACUAGUGAGAUGUUUUCGACAACUGUCCUACCGGAUUUGAUGUCGACGGAUUUUUUUACGACUUCGGAUUUUUCGUCGAUGUCGGAUUUUGCGUCUACGGAUAUAGAGUCGACUACUGAUUUUGUUCCUAGUACGCUGCCUCCGGAGACCGGUAUAAGGGAAUGGUUGUUGGAUCUCGUCGUUAAGAAUUCAGCAGUCAAAGGCGGCUUCUGGCAAGGUUUCCUAGCAUCACUGUCCGUGGUUAUUGUGUCAGAAUUAGCGGACAAGACAUUCUUCAUAGCUGCAAUUAUGGCCAUGAAACAUUCUAGAAUAAUUGUCUUCUGUGGUGCCAUAUCGGCGCUUAUAUUUAUGACUGUUCUCUCAGCAGCCUUUGGCUGGGUAGCCACAGUUGUACCACGAGUGUAUACGCAUUAUAUAAGUGCGGCACUGUUCGCCAUAUUUGGUCUGAAGAUGCUAAGAGAUGGAUGGAAGAUGGACCCGAACGAGGGUCAAGAAGAGUUAGAUGAGGUGCAGACCGAAUUGAAGAGGAGAGAGGAACAGGUGUGUUUGAAGCUAGAAGACAAAGAAGAAACAGCUGAGAUGUUGGAGCAAGGUCUAGCAGAGAGACGAAAGAGACGUAGUGCCGUCUAUAAAGUAUUAUUGCAAGCGGCAACUUUGACAUUUUUAGCGGAAUGGGGAGAUAGAUCGCAGCUGGCAACAGUGGUGUUGGCCACGAGAGAAGAUGUGUUUGGAGUCGUGGUGGGAGGGUCACUGGGUCACGCCCUUUGUACGGGAUUGGCUGUGAUUGGUGGAAGAAUGGUGGCGCAGAAGAUUUCCGUUAGGACUGUGACAAUAAUCGGUGGUCUAGUCUUCCUGUUCUUCGCUGUGAGUGCACUAGUGAUGGGCCCCGGCGAGUAAAGACUUUUAAUCAAUAUACAUGGUGCUCUCAAAUGUUAUUAGACGUCUAAAACGACGAUCCUAGGGUAGACUUGUGCGUGCGUGUUUGCAUUCACUCAUUUCAUUUUUAUUUUGUUGAAAAAUAAGAUAGACAUUCUGUACUUUUUUAACUCUCUCUCUCUUAUUUAUCUCUGUGGAUUUUUUUUGCCAACAAAAGUAAAAUUUGUUACGUCAUUUCUUUUUUACGCAAAUAAUAUAGACAAUACACUAAUGAUUACUGGCGUUUGUGACGUAACAGUGUUGUCAUAAUAAAAAAGGAAAUAGUAAACUUCAGCUACCUCAUAUCUAAUGUUUAAAUGAAUCCUGAAUAAUUCAGCAUUAAAUUAUUCAGGGUUUUGUCUCUUUGUCUUAAAUGGUAUGUACGCUGUGAUGAAAAGAGACAUAAGAACUUUAGUUUUAACGUUACAAUUUGACGAAGAAAGUUUAAUAUAUUAUAAGGUUUUACUUUGAACCUUAGCCACACCCGUUGUUACAAAAAAUGACGGUAGUUUACAAGUACUUGAAAACUACCCACAUACAUUGCAAAACAUGGUAAUACGCAUUUAUUUUUAAAUUACUUAUGUGAUGGUUGUUGCACUGUUCUAACGUAACUUACCUGUCUCUUUCUCUCUAAUUGUUUAUACUGUAAUGAAGAGACAAUACGAGUUCAUAAUGUCUAUCUUAGUUGACUUCGUCUAGGGUUCCUGCUACGUUAUUGCCUGUAGAUUAGGGAUGUAAUUCACGAAAUGGCGGACAGAUAUAUAUAAACAACGUAAAAUUUUAAAAUUAAAACCUGUCACGGAUCUGUGGUUAAGUGUAGACUCGGCGUCUAUGACUCCUGUAUGUCAAAACCCAGUAGAUUUUAACGUGCAGGAGUCAGACUUAGUGUUACGAAGGCCGAAGUAUAGAGCUCACUUAAAUCUAGUUUCUGCUGACUUUUCAGUUUUCGCAUUUCGUCACAUCUAUACAAUUUGUAUUGUUUGUAUAUCUGUUUGCGUCUGGUUAAGAUGACUUUGGCUCGCCUUAUCUAAUGACUUCGAAGAUUGAAGGAUUAAAGACGAGCCAAUUAUAAAAUAUGCGCAAAGGCAAUCUAAAUUACUUUGUUCUUCAACCCGAUAGUCUUGUCUUGCUUGCUCAAAUGAUACUCCAUCGUCGAGAGUUCUACUCUUGGACUACGUGUUGUUCAAUCAGUGUAUUUGAAUUUUGAUUUGUACUCAUCUGUAGGAUUCCUCUUAGUGUGGUUACUAAUAACGGUGUAUAUGGACCCAGCUGCCCCCUGAAGUAUUUCCGAACCAAUUCCACUUUGGGUCCUUCAAGAAAAGAAGGUACCAAUUCUUAAAAAGUCCCUUCUUGCGAGCCGUCUGGUAAUAUGAUUGUCUAUAGGUAAUAUGCCUGUCCUGUUAUGUAAAAAAUGGUUAUUAUAAUUGAAACUGGAUGUUCCAUAAAAAUCAAUAGAAGAUUCACCUUUUUCAUCGAAGCGAAAAUAGCAUUUGAAUAGGUCUAGUCGGUUUGGAGAACAUUAUCUGUACUGAGUACUACAUAGAUUAAGAGUCUAUGGUAGCCCUUAAUGUCAAUGUCAUACGACUGUGACAGUCUAAUUGUCUCUUAGACCUAUGAGUUUGCGCAUAUUAUUAAUAUAGUGUUUUAAUAGAUAAAAUGUAAAUAAUGUAAAAUAUGACAGCAUUUUAUUAUUAUUAGUCGAAAUAAAUAGAAAUUGUACUUGCGCCCGCCGGUAAUUACGAUCAAUUAAAACCAAUAAAAAUUGCUCAAAUCGUUUUGGUAUAGUAUUUGUUCACAUACAACACGUAGAUAUGAGAUUUUUUUAUAUAUAUAUAGAAACUAAUUCGAUAUGUCAGCUAUGUUCGAAAAAUUCAAAUUUUUUAUAUUUAGACACGGUAAACGCCUCAAAUCAACUUACUUAUAUUUAAAUGAAAAUAACAUACACCCAAGUGUCAGUCACAGAUGACUAUCUAUAUAUUUGGCGGCCUAGUAUCAAUGAGAUUUUGAUUUCGGGUAUACUGUCAAAUGUAGCAAUAAACAUAUAAAUCAACUGUAUAAUUCCCGCAAUGUGAUAUGUAUAGGAUGAUGUUAAAAUAGUGUAAGUACAAAUAAAUAACUUAAGUCUAUAAAGCACACGUUGACUUGGCUCUUAGGAAUUCAGAAAGACUAAGUCUGACUCACUUACGUCAAAAAUUUGACUUUGACAUAUGGUUGUCAUAGUUUGGGCUAAGUCUAAAUCAUAUAUUUUGAAUAGAUUCAUCGAGCUUUUUAAUUAUUAUGUAGAGUUUAACAAAACGAGAGAAGAAUAGAGAUGCAGUUUGAGCUAAAUUAAAUAAUUGGUUUGGAAGCCUGGAAUGCUGAGUCAAAGCAAAGUAAGCUCUAUAGAUUUAAGCAUGUCGCUUGUUAAGUUGUAAAAAGUAUUAUUUUUAUGUAUUUAACGAUUUUAUUAAAACAUAUUUUAAU